CCUACGGGGGGCAGCAGUGAGGAAUAUUGGUCAAUGGUCGGGAGACUGAACCAGCCAAGCCGCGUGAGGGAUGAAGGUACAGAGUAUCGUAAACCUCUUUUGUCAGGGAACAAAGGCGGGGACGUGUCCCCGGAUGAGUGUAGCUGAAGAAAAAGCAUCGGCUAACUCCGUGCCAGCAGCCGCGGUAAUACGGAGGAUGUGAGCGUUAUCCGGAUUUAUUGGGUUUAAAGGGAGCGCAGGCGGUCUGUU
rnacentral:rRNA from 1 species